rnacentral:tRNA from 1 species
GCGGGAGUGAUGGAAUUGGCAUACAUGUCAGAUUUAGAAUCUGAAUUUUCCGAGUUCGAAUCUCGGCUCCCGCACCA